rnacentral:rRNA from 1 species
UACGAAGGGGGCUAGCGUUGUUCGGAAUUACUGGGCGUAAAGGGCGCGUAGGCGGUGUGUCAAGUCAGGCGUGAAAGCCCCGGGCUCAACCUGGGAACAGCGCUUGAGACUGGCACGCUCGAGUUCGGGAGAGGAUGGUGGAAUUCCCAGUGUAGAGGUGAAAUUCGUAGAUAUUGGGAAGAACACCGAUGGCGAAGGCAGCCAUCUGGACCGACACUGACGCUGAGGCGCGAAAGCGUUGGGAGCAAACAGG